AUACGUACCUGGCAGGGGAGAUACCAUGAUCACGAAGGGGGUUUUCCCAGGGUGAGGCUUAGCCACUGCACUCCAGAUGUGCUGACCCCUGCAAUUUCCCCAAAUGUGGGAGACUUAGCUCCAUAAUUUGUGGUAUUGGGGGACUGUGUUUGCAUUUCCUCUUA
rnacentral:snRNA from 1 species